rnacentral:rRNA from 1 species
GUGGUUAAUUCGAUGCAACGCGAAGAACCUUACCAGGUCUUGACAUCCCACGAAUUCAUCUGAAAGGAUGGAGUGCCUUCGGGAGCGUGGAGACAGGUGGUGCAUGGUUGUCGUCAGCUCGUGCCGUGAGAUGUUGGGUUAAGUCCCGCAACGAGCGCAACCCUUGCUAUUAGUUGCUAACAGGCAGAGCUGAGCACUCUAAUGGGACUGCCGGUGACAAGCCGGAGGAAGGUGGGGAUGACGUCAAAUCAUCAUGCCCUUUAUGACCUGGGCUACACACGUGCUACAAUGGAUGGUACAGAGAGCAGCGAGGCAGCGAUGUGGAGCGAAUCUCAAAAAGCCAUUCUCAGUUCGGAUUGGAGUCUGCAACUCGACUCCAUGAAGUCGGAAUCGCUGGUAAUCGCGAAUCAGCAUGUCGCGGUGAAUGCGUUCCCGGGCCUU